rnacentral:rRNA from 1 species
GCCGGCGACCGGCGCACGGGUGAGUAACGCGUAUGCGACCUGCCCGUCACAGGGGGAUAAUCCGGAGAAAUCCGGUCUAAUACCGCAUAAUAUCGUGAAUCUGCAUGGAUUUGCGAUUAAAGGAGCGAUCCGGUGACGGAUGGGCAUGCGUGACAUUAGCUAGUCGGCGGGGUAACGGCCCACCGAGGCGACGAUGUCUAGGGGUUCUGAGAGGAAGGUCCCCCACACUGGUACUGAGACACGGACCAGACUCCUACGGGAGGCAGCAGUGAGGAAUAUUGGUCAAUGGGCUUACGCCUGAACCAGCCAAGUCGCGUGAGGGAAGACUGCCCUAUGGGUUGUAAACCUCUUUUGUCAGGGAGCAACGCCGGCUACGUGUAGCCGGACUGAGAGUACCUGAAGAAAAAGCAUCGGCUAACUCCGUGCCAGCAGCCGCGGUAAUACGGAGGAUGCGAGCGUUAUCCGGAUUUAUUGGGUUUAAAGGGUGCGUAGGCGGAAUGCCAAGUCAGCGGUAAAAUCGCGGGGCUCAACCUCGCUCCGCCGUUGAAACUGGCGUUCUUGAGUGAGCGAGAAGUAUGCGGAAUGCGUGGUGUAGCGGUGAAAUGCAUAGAUAUCACGCAGAACUCCGAUUGCGAAGGCAGCAUGCCGGCGCUCAACUGACGCUCAUGCACGAAAGCGUGGGUAUCGAACAGGAUUAGAUACCCUGGUAGUCCACGCCGUAAACGAUGAUUACUAGGUGUCGGGGGACCAAGGUCCUCCGGUGCCGGCGCAAACGCAUUAAGUAAU